rnacentral:misc_RNA from 1 species
CUAGGGUUAGGGUUUUGAUUUAAUUAAUUUCUGUGCAAUAGCAUCUAAACUUUGCAUAUUUGGAGAUUCUUAGUUUAUAAUAUAUACUAAGCUGCCUGCGUUUGUUAACCAUCACAAGAUUACAGAUUUUUUGCCAUCUGAUCUGAUCUCUUCUGGGCUUUAGCGCCCUGUGGCCUUUAAAAUCGAUGAUCAUCAGCGUCCCAUGGACCCCUCUCAAUCGCACAACACUUCCACAGUCAACGACGAAGAAGAUGAAUGGG